AGAGUUUGAUCCUGGCUCAGAUUGAACGCUGGCGGAAUGCUUUACACAUGCAAGUCGAACGGCAGCACGAGAGCUUGCUCUUGGUGGCGAGUGGCGAACGGGUGAGUAAUAUAUCGGAACGUAUCCAAUAAUGGGGGAUAACUAAUCGAAAGGUUGGCUAAUACCGCAUACGCCCUACGGGGGAAAGCAGGGGAUCUUCGGACCUUGCGUUAAUGGAGCGGCUGAUAUCUGAUUAGCUAGUAGGUGAGGUAAAGGCUCACCUAGGCUUCGAUCAGUAGCUGGUCUGAGAGGACGACCAGCCACACUGGAACUGAGACACGGUCCAGACUCCUACGGGAGGCAGCAGUGGGGAAUUUUGGACAAUGGGCGCAAGCCUGAUCCAGCCAUUCCGCGUGAGUGAAGAAGGCCUUCGGGUUGUAAAGCUCUUUCGCAAGGGAAGAAACGUGACGAGCGAAUAACUCGUCAUAAUGACGGUACCUUGAUAAGAAGCACCGGCUAACUACGUGCCAGCAGCCGCGGUAAUACGUAGGGUGCGAGCGUUAAUCGGAAUUACUGGGCGUAAAGCGUGCGCAGGCGGUUUUGUAAGUCAGAUGUGAAAUCCCCGAGCUCAACUUGGGAACUGCGUUUGAAACUACAAGGCUAGAGUAUGGUAGAGGGGGGUAGAAUUCCACGUGUAGCAGUGAAAUGCGUAGAGAUGUGGAGGAAUACCAAUGGCGAAGGCAGCCCCCUGGACUAAUACUGACGCUCAUGCACGAAAGCGUGGGGAGCAAACAGGAUUAGAUACCCUGGUAGUCCACGCCCUAAACGAUGUCUACUAGUUGUUGGGAGAGUAA
rnacentral:rRNA from 1 species